CAUCCAUACAUCGAUUCAAUUGUCCUGAAAGGUUUCUUCCAAAGAUUGACUUUCAGGGCAUAUUUCCAACAAUCUAGCAAGGAAUCAACAGGUUUCCUAUAAUCUUAGAGUCCUUACAAUUUAAGUAUUUUAAGGAUUAUAUUUGGUAGUCAUAAUUAGUGUGGUGAUUCGUGUGGUGAUCAGAAUGAUAAUGGGAUUAGUAUACAAAUAUAGGUGAGGUGAUACGAAUUGAUGUUUUGAUCAUGAUGGUUUGUAAAAGAGAUUAGGUUGUGUGAGAUAAAACUAUGUGCAUCAUCUUGGGACUUGAUGUGAUAAUGCAGAGGGAGUAUUGCAAUUUUUUUUGCAUAUGGUUACAUAAUUGUAUUUGGACAUACAACUUGAAAAAAUUAGGUCUUUUGGUUGGAGUAUGGAAUAUCAUUUAAGGAUCAUCUGAUCUUUUAUUUGAAAUUAGUUAGCGUGGAAUGAUUGGUAUAAUCAGGAGGAGCUGCAAGGCUAAGCAAUUCGAUCUUAUAAGUACGAGACCGUUGGCAAUGUGGGAAGCCCCUUCAACUCAAUAAACAACUAAACACUCUACGUAAAAACUCUCGCUCUACGCGAAAACCUUCUCACACACAUAAGAAAAACACU
rnacentral:lncRNA from 1 species